UACAGAGGUCUCAAGCGUUGUUCGGAUUCAUUGGGCGUAAAGGGUGUGUAGGUGGCGCGCUAAGUCGGGUGUGAAAUUUCGAAGCUUAACUCCGAAACUGCAUUCGAUACUGGCGUGCUUGAGGACUGGAGAGGAGACUGGAAUUCAUGGUGUAGCAGUGAAAUGCGUAGAGAUCAUGAGGAAGACCAGUGGCGAAGGCGGGUCUCUGGACAGUUCCUGACACUGAGACACGAAGGCCAGGGGAGCAAACGGG
rnacentral:rRNA from 1 species